GCAGGUGAAGAAGACAACCUCGGAUGUGACGUUGAUCCUUAGGGAUGAUUCGGCUGAUCUGGCCCGCCGCGCGAGUGUCCCCCUUCGUCCCUCACCGCUCCAUGAGAGUCCCUUUGGAAGCUCCACGCUCAGUCGAUGAGGACGACCGUCCAUCGAUAUACCCGAAGCUGCGCUCCUCUGCUAGAACCUCCAGACGACCUCAGGAAGACAGCUUGUUGUCAACAUGUUCUACUUU
ensembl:misc_RNA 7SK 7SK RNA